rnacentral:tRNA from 1 species
UGGGGUAUAGCUCAGUGGUAGAGCAUGUGCUUAAUAUGAAUGAGGCCCUGGGUUCAAGCCCUAGUAACUUUA